UAAGAGAUCAAGACAGCAUGAGACUUACUAAUGCAGCACAGAGCUGUACCAUGUGAGGAGGAGGAAGGAGGAGAAUCGAUUACCCAAGGAGAGAAGAAGGGAGACGACGAGACUGCAGGAGUGAAAAGGAGGAAAGGAAAGUGAAUUUGUGACAAGUGAGGACAACCAACAUCAGGAGCCUUUGUCUUUCAACGGAUCACCUUGUUCCCUGAGGCUCAACUGAAACACCGGAGAUGAUGGUUCCCGAGGAUGGCACCACCGCCUCGAGUCCUCACGCAGCGUGCCCCACAUCCAUCCCUGGCCCAGGAGCGUCCUGGAGACAUGCAUGGGAUGCCGGAAGAGACUUGGUUCUGCCACCAUCUGAAACACCCGCCAGCCAGGCUCCAGAGCGGCCCUGAGGUGCCCCUUGGGCGUGGCCAUGGACACUCCCUGCCAGCCUGACAGGAGUGAGCGCUCGUGUCCAAGGUGACCCAGCGGGUGAUGGCGAGAACUGUAAGCAGCAUGUUGACUGUUGUCCUUGUUGCUGUGGGACUGGCACCAGGAGAUGGAAAGCUGGAGACCUUAACCCCGAAGCCCUGGAUGUGCCGUUGCGCGGCCUCCUCCAGGGCUCCCCUAUAUUCCUAUUUUACUUAUAAUCGUAGCGUAGAUUUAAAAUGUAUUCAUUAAAAGUAGUCUUUUUUUUUUUAGAUUUUAGGCAACAUAGAACUUUGUUAAGUAUGUAGUUAUUACUUUAUGUACUUGUUUCCCUUUUAA